UACAGCCUCAGUGUUCACAGUAAAACUGUAACUUAAAGUGGGUACAGCCUCAGUGUUCACAGUAAAACUGUAACUUAAAGCAGGUACAGCCUCAGUGUUCACAGUAAAACUGUAACUUAAAGCAGGUACAGCCUCAGUGUUCACAGUAAAACUGUAACUUAAAGCAGGUACAGCCUCAGUGUUCACAGUAAAACUGUAACUUAGUGGGUACAGCCUCAGUGUUCACAGUAAAACUGUAACUUAAAGCAGGUACAGCCUCAGUGUUCACAGUAAAACUGUAACUUAAAGUGGGUACAGCCUCAGUGUUCACAGUAAAACUGUAACUUAAAGCAGGUACAGCCUCAGUGUUCACAGUAAAACUGUAACUUAAAGCAGGUACAGCCUCAGUGUUCACAGUAAAACUGUAACUUAAAGCAGGUACAGCCUCAGUGUUCACAGUAAAACUGUAACUUAGUGGGUACAGCCUCAGUGUUCACAGUAAAACUGUAACUUAAAGUGGGUACAGCCUCAGUGUUCACAGUAAAACUGUAACUUAAAGCAGGUACAGCCUCAGUGUUCACAGUAAAACUGUAACUUAAAGCGGGUACAGCCUCAGUGUUCACAGUAAAACUGUAACUUAAAGCAGGUACAGCCUCAGUGUUCACAGUAAAACUGUAACUUAAAGCAGGUACAGCCUCAGUGUUCACAGUAAAACUGUAACUUAGUGGGUACAGCCUCAGUGUUCACAGUAAAACUGUAACUUAAAGUGGGUACAGCCUCAGUGUUCACAGUAAAACUGUAACUUAAAGCAGGUACAGCCUCAGUGUUCACAGUAAAACUGUAACUUAAAGCAGGUACAGCCUCAGUGUUCACAGUAAAACUGUAACUUAAAGCAGGUACAGCCUCAGUGUUCACAGUAAAACUGUAACUUAAAGUGGGUACAGCCUCAGUGUUCACAGUAAAACUGUAACUUAAAGCAGGUACAGCCUCAGUGUUCACAGUAAAACUGUAACUUAAAGUGGGUACAGCCUCAGUGUUCACAGUAAAACUGUAACUUAAAGCAGGUACAGCCUCAGUGUUCACAGUAAAACUGUAACUUAAAGCAGGUACAGCCUCAGUGUUCACAGUAAAACUGUAACUUAAAGCAGGUACAGCCUCAGUGUUCACAGUAAAACUGUAACUUAGUGGGUACAGCCUCAGUGUUCACAGUAAAACUGUAACUUAAAGCAGGUACAGCCUCAGUGUUCACAGUAAAACUGUAACUUAAAGCAGGUACAGCCUCAGUGUUCACAGUAAAACUGUAACUUAAAGCAGGUACAGCCUCAGUGUUCACAGUAAAACUGUAACUUAAAGCAGGUACAGCCUCAGUGUUCACAGUAAAACUGUAACUUAAAGUGGGUACAGCCUCAGUGUUCACAGUAAAACUGUAACUUAAAGCAGGUACAGCCUCAGUGUUCACAGUAAAACUGUAACUUAAAGCAGGUACAGCCUCAGUGUUCACAGUAAAACUGUAACUUAAAGUGGGUACAGCCUCAGUGUUCACAGUAAAAUGAACUUAAAGCAGGUACAGCCUCAGUGUUCACAGUAAAACUGUAACUUAAAGCAGGUACAGCCUCAGUGUUCACAGUAAAACUGUAACUUAAAGCAGGUACAGCCU